rnacentral:lncRNA from 1 species
CAGCCCUUCCAGGCGGCCGAGAACGCGCCUGCCCUGCCCGCCCCUUUCAGGGCCGCGGGAGCGCGCCUGUCGCGCCCCUGUCCCACCCCACGCCCUUCAGGGAGGGCCUGCAGCCCGCGCCCACAAGCCCGGCGCCUCAGGGCCGCACGAGCGGCUCCAGCGUUUCAAUUCUGCCGCCAUCUUUUGGGCAGCCAACUUCCCAGCCUGCCUCACGCUCAAGCAGAUUAGGCUCAGGCCGCCAAGAAACGAAAACAACCCGAGGGCGCAGCUAACCCGCCCCCGGCCCCGCCCCGGCGCCCUCGUGACGUCAUCCCCCAGGGCCGCUCGGCGCCGCCGAUCACUUGGAGCCACGUGA